AGAGUUUGAUCCUGGCUCAGGAUGAACGCUGGCGGCGUGCCUAACACAUGCAAGUCGAGCGGGGAAGCCGGAACAUGUAGAGAUAUAUGAGAAAGCAUCCUAGCGGCGGACGGGUGAGUAACACGUGAGGAACCUGCCUUACACAGGGGAAUAACACCGUGAAAACGGUGCUAAUACCGCAUAACACCGCGCUAUGGCAUCAUAGAGCGGUCAAAGGAGAAAUCCGGUGUAAGAUGGCCUCACGCCCGAUUAGUUAGUUGGUGGGGUAAUGGCCUACCAAGACUGCGAUCGGUAGCCGGACUGAGAGGUCGAACGGCCACAUUGGAACUGGGAGACGGUCCAGACUCCUACGGGAGGCAGCAGUGGGGAAUAUUGGGCAAUGGGGGAAACCCUGACCCAGCAACGCCGCGUGAAGGAAGAAGGCCUUCGGGUUGUAAACUUCUUUGAUCAGGGAAGAAACAAAUGACGGUACCUGAAAAACAAGCCACGGCUAACUACGUGCCAGCAGCCGCGGUAAUACGUAGGUGGCAAGCGUUAUCCGGAUUUACUGGGUGUAAAGGGCGUGUAGGUGGUCUCAUAAGUCAGAUGUGAAAUUCCCGGGCUUAACCCGGGCGCUGCAUCUGAAACUGUGGGACUUGAGUACUGGAGAGGAUAGUGGAAUUCCUAGUGUAGCGGUAAAAUGCGUAGAUAUUAGGAGGAACACCGGUGGCGAAGGCGACUAUCUGGACAGUAA
rnacentral:rRNA from 1 species